AUCAUUGUACGAAAAACCCAAAAACAUGAAUAAAAUUCUGUUCUUAUCAGCUUAAUAUCUGAUACGGGUCCUAUUUGGACCCAAGAUAUUAAUCUUUUUUUUGGAGAGGAAGAAGGUGGAGCGCUUGAGGUUUACCAUCCACCUAUGCCACGGGUUUGUCCCGUAUUUCAGCUGCCUCCGGGAACCGCCCACCCCCC
rnacentral:snRNA from 2 species